AACACAUGCAAGUCGAACGCGAAAGUCCCGCAAGGGAUAAGUAGAGUGGCAGACGGGUGAGUAAUGCAUAGGUAAUCUACCCUUGAGUGGGGGAUAACUCCGGGAAACCGGUGCUAAUCCCGCAUAACUUCCAGAUGCACAAGCAUUUGGAUCAAAGGGGGGGAUCCUUCGGGACCUCCUGCUUGAGGUUGAGCCUAUGUCCUAUUAGCUAGUUGGUGAGGUAACGGCCCACCAAGGCUUUGAUGGGUAGCCGAGCUGAGAGGCUGAUCGGCCACACUGGAACUGAAACACGGUCCAGACUCCUACGGGAGGCAGCAGUGGGGAAUUUUGCGCAAUGGGCGAAAGCCUGACGCAGCGACGCCGCGUGAGGGAUGAAGGUCUUAGGAUUGUAAACCUCUGUCAGGAAGCAUUAAAUGUGCGGAUAUCAACACCAUCCGUACUUGACUUAACUUCCAGAGGAAGCCCCGGCUAACUACGUGCCAGCAGCCGCGGUAAUACGUAGGGGGCAAGCGUUACUCGGAUUUAUUGGGCGUAAAGAGAAUUAAGGCGGUCAUGUAAGUCAGUGGUGAAAUCCCCCGGCUCAACUGGGGAAUUGCCUCUGAUACUGCGUGACUUGAGGACAGGAGAGGGAGGCGGAAUUCCCGGUGUAGCGGUGGAAUGCGUAGAUAUCGGGAGGAACACCUGANGCGAANGCGGCUUUCUGGACUGGUCCUGACGCUGAUAUUCGAAAGCUAGGGGAGCAAACAGGAUUAGAUACCCUGGUAGUCCUAGCUGUAAACGAUGGAUACUAGAUCUUGCAUGAUUUUGCUUGGUCGAAGCUAACGCGUUAAGUAUCCCGCCUGGGGAGUACGGUCGCAAGGCUGAAACUCAAAGGGAAUUGACGGGGGCCCGCA
rnacentral:rRNA from 1 species